rnacentral:rRNA from 1 species
AUUGAACGCUGGCGGCAUGCCUUACACAUGCAAGUCGAACGGCAGCACGGGAGCAAUCCUGGUGGCGAGUGGCGAACGGGUGGGUAAAGUAUCGGAACGUGCCCAGUCGUGGGGGAUAACGUAGCGAAAGUUACGCUAAUACCGCAUACGAUCUCUGGAUGAAAGCGGGGGAUCGCAAGACCUCGCGCGAUUGGAGCGGCCGAUAUCAGAUUAGGUAGUUGGUGGGGUAAAGGCUCACCAAGCCGACGAUCUGUAGCUGGUCUGAGAGGACGACCAGCCACACUGGGACUGAGACACGGCCCAGACUCCUACGGGAGGCAGCAGUGGGGAAUUUUGGGCAAUGGGCGAAAGCCUGAUCCAGCCAUGCCGCGUGCAGGAUGAAGGCCUUCGGGUUGUAAACUGCUUUUGUACGGAACGAAAAGGUUUGGCCUAAUAAGCUGAGCUCAUGACGGUACCGUAAGAAUAAGCACCGGCUAACUACGUGCCAGCAGCCGCGGUAA